GGAGGGAGAGGAGAGGAACAGGUCGAGGGGGACAGAAGAAAGGGAGGGAGAGGAGAGGAACAGGUCGAGGGGGACAGAAGAAAGGGAGGAAGAGGAACAGGUCGAGGGGGACAGAAGAAAGGGAGGGAGAGGAACAGGUCGAGGGGGCAGAAGAAAGGGAGGGAGAGGAACAGGUCGAGGGGGACAGAAGAAAGGGAGGGAGAGGAGAGGAUCAGGUCGAGAGGGACAGAAGAAAGGGAGGGAGAGGAACAGGUCGAGGGGGACAGAAGAAAGGGAGGAAGAGGAACAGGUCAAGGGGGACAGAAGAAAGGGAGGGAGAGGAGAGGAACAGGUCGAGAGGGACAGAAGAAAGGGAGGGAGAGGAGAGGAACAGGUCAAGGGGGACAGAAGAAAGGGAGGGAGAGGAGAGGAACAGGUCGAGAGGGACAGAAGAAAGGGAGGAGAGGAGAGGAACAGGUGGAGGGGGACAGAAGAAAGGGAGGGAGAAGAACAGGUCGAGAGGGACAGAAGAAAGGGAGGAAAGGAGAGGAACAGGUCGAGGGGGACAGAAGAAAGGGAGGGAGAAGAAGAGGUCGAGGGGGACAGAAGAAAGAGAGGAGAGGAACAGGUCGAGGGGGACAGAAGAAAGGGAGGGAGAGGAGAGGAACAGGUCGAGAGGGACAGAAGAAAGG
ensembl:lncRNA